rnacentral:lncRNA from 1 species
GUUAGAUUACAUUUAAUUGAAUGAGAAUAGAUAAGUUUUCUUAGCAUUCCUAUUGCUCAUUUAAGAAAGCUGAUUAAUAAUAGUAUUUUUGAUAGAUGACGAUGAGCAAUAGGGAGGAUGAUGUUUUGGCGAAUCCUGCCACUAAGAAGAGAGGAGCAAGAAGGACUACAAGAGGAGAUGCCAACCAAUUGAUUGGGCAGGCUCCUAAUGCGUUAACCACUCGAACAGAUAUUGCUGGAGUAUGCC